GACGAACGCUGGCGGCGUGCUUAACACAUGCAAGUCGAACGGACAGGCCUUUUCGUUGGUACUCGGGCGGCGAACGGGGGAGUAACACGUGGGUGAUCUGCACUGCACUCUGGGAUAGGCCUGGGAAACUGGGUCUAAUACCGGAACGGACCGCUCUAUUGUGUGUGUGGGGGCAAGUUUUUCGGGUGUAGGUUCAGCCCGCGGGCUAUCAGCUUGUGGGGGGGGUAAUGGGCUACCAAGGCGGCGGCGGGCAGCCCGACUGUGGGGUUGGUCCGCCACACUGGGACCGAGAGACGGCCCAGAUUGCGACGCGAGGGAGAAGUGCGGAAGAUUGCACAAGGGGCGCCAGGCGAGUGCAGCGACGCCGCGGAGCGGAUGACGGCCUUAGGGUUGUAAACUCCUUUCGCCAGUAACGAAGCGUGUCUUGACGGUACCUGGAGAAGAAGCACCGGCUAACUACGUG
rnacentral:rRNA from 1 species